CAUGCAAAUUAAACAGUGAAAAUCUGUUAUCAGUGGUCAGGACGCUGAAUAGUAAUUAGUAAUACACCUUUGUCUUGAAUACCGCUGACAGUUCUGACAAUGAAGUGAGGUAAUUGAUGAAUGGGAAAAGAGAGAAUUAGUAGGAGCUGAUUGGAGAAGUUCCAUAAUUUCUGACGUGUUUGUAUCGUGGAGUCUGGGACGAUGGUGGAGCGCUGUGGCGAUGUUCUGUCGCCCGCCGUAAAUGCUAAGCAAGUCGAGUCCCUGGACAGUACACGACGGAUGAUAUCGCUAUGUGAAGAGAGCAAGGAAGCUGGCAUCCGCACACUGGUUGCCCUGGACGACCAGGGAGAGCAAUUGGACCGCAUCGAAGAGGGGAUGGACCAAAUCAAUGCUGACAUGCGAGAAGCAGAAAAGAACCUUACAGGCAUGGAGAAAUGCUGUGGAUUGUGUGUCCUGCCUUGCAACAAGUCAGCGUCAUUCAAGGAAGAUGAGGGCACAUGGAAAGGGAAUGAUGAUGGUAAAGUUGUUAACAAUCAACCUCAGCGUGUGAUGGAUGACAGGAACGGACUGGGGCCCCAGGGAGGAUACAUUGCCAGGAUCACAAAUGAUGCUCGUGAAGAUGAGAUGGAGGAGAACAUGGGGCAGGUGAACACGAUGAUCGGCAACCUGCGUAACAUGGCAAUUGACAUGGGCUCAGAACUGGAGAACCAGAACAGACAGAUUGACAGAAUCAACCGCAAGGGGGAGUCGAACGAGACAAGGAUAGCAGUGGCCAACCAGCGAGCCCAUGACCUGUUGAAGUAAUCGGUAAACAUGAUGGGCAGGAGAAUGGGCAGUGGGUUCCAUGCAGUGAUGCAACAAAAGAAAUGUCAAAUGAACAGCGGAUAAGAGAUGCCAACCAGCGUGUCCAUAGAAUCUACAAGUCAUAGAUUGAGUAAACACAUAAGCAACAAAAUAGGAGGGCAACGUGGGCGGCAAGUGACUGAACCAGGGCUGCGUGAAGUCCAAGCAAUGCUGAUGGAGACAUAGAACACACACAUACCACGAGCUGUUUGAAGGUAAAGUUUAUGUUCCAAGUUGUGACAUUAGACUUUUCUUAUGUGAAUUCAAAUCUUUAUUAUUUAUCUAUACAGUUAAGAGAUUUAUGUGAUAUUAUGGAUAAGUUUAAACUCAUUUCUGUAAAUGUACUGCAAAACUAACUUUUAGUGAAGUGUGUGUACAUGUCAUGCAAAAUGUAAAGAAAGUGUUCAAUGUCUCUUUCACUUGGUUAUUAAACUUCCUAAUCAGCACAUAAUGCAAGAUAAAUGACUUUUUCCAAGUGUGUACUUAUGUGUCAGAACAUAGUCAUUUAAAUCUAGUAGAAUUAUUGUUACUCUAAAUAAUAAUAUAUAAGCUGUCAGUGAAAGUUUUUCAUUUAUAUUGUAUUGUUCAUUAUUUAUUCUCUCUUCAACAACUUCAUCGUAAGGGAAACUCCAAGAAGUUUUGUGUUUUAAUCUAAUAACUCUUUGUCUGCUGGUAACUAACUUGUACAAAGUAGAUGGAGAUUGUUUUUUCACGUCACACUUUUACUUCAUUUGAUAGGAAGCUAUUGGACCAUGAAAUCACUAAUGGCAAUGUGAAUUUUGGUAAAAGUGUAUUUACCAACAUGUAUGUAAAAAUACAUAUAUAUUUUUUGUAUAUAUUAAAAAGAAAGUGUAGUACUUUGUUCAGGUUAAGUUGUAUAAAUUUGUUUCUCUAUUACAAUUUGCAUAGCACUAUUGAACUUGUUUUGACAUGUUGAAGCUGUGUCUUACAAAUUGCUUUCUAGUACCAUUACACGUAAUUCAGGGUUUCUGCUUUUGUAUAUAUUAUCUUCAGUUUUAAGCUCAAAAUGUGGUCAUAAGCAGGAGAUAUGAACUAGAUAUUAGUACUGUGUUGUGUGAAUAGAUUAAAAACUGUGGCAGAAAGAAUGAUUGAUUCUCCGUAGUGUAACUGGGGUGUAAUUGUAAUCAUAAAGUUAUCAAAAUCAUACGGUUUCCAGACUUGAUCCAAAAAUGGGUCUUAAUCUGUUACAUUGGACUGUAUAAAUCUGCUGACUCUGUAAUAACCUGCAUACCAGCGAAGUAAUGUAAGAAUGGUAAUGUACUGCGACUUUUUAGCGUUGCUUUCCAAUACCACACAUGCCUUUGUUGUUUAUUGCUUGUAGAUUUUAUAGUUAAUGUAUUUGUAAGGAUAACGGAAGCCAUUUUGCAUAUACACCAUAUUCAGUAGGGACCCUGUAUUACUGUAUUGUUAACUUUAUUACUGAUAAAUGAACAUUUUCUAUGUAGUUUAAUUACUGUUAGGGGAUUGUGAUGUAUUUUAUAUACUCUCCAGUAAAAAAGGAAUCUAUAUGUUCCCCGACUUUGGUCUUUUAUAUAUAUAAUGUUGUUACAGAGUUCAUGUUGAGUGAAAAGAGCAAACUUCACAUUAAUAAACAAGCGAGAAUUUCUUUUUGACUGAAAAUUAAGUUGGCCAAGUAAGGAAGUCCCCUAUCUCUCCAGUUCUGUGCUAGAAAUAAUGUUAUACCAGCGUGGGCUGGGUGAUUUAAAGAAUGUUAUGAAAUGCUGAUACUCUUCCUGUAAGAAAUAAAUCCAUUCAGUGUUUUCCGCAUGUUGGGAACUUGAUUUUGAAAUUAAAAUUGGGGAUCUUCAGUAUUGUAAAUAUACUGUUUCUGAGAUUUGGCUGAAAAUUAUAUUAUUGGAUUUAUUAAUGGCGUUGAAAUUUCAGCUGGCUAGUUUAUGAUUUGGUGACAAGAAGACCAAUGUAGACAAGGAAUACUUGGCAGCUACACCAUGGCAUGGCCUUUUUUGCUAUUCGUCAUCACUGUAUUGAUUGCUGUUUUUCCUAGUCGGUCAGCUGCAGUUCUAGCAAGUUUGCAGUUUACUUCCAUACAUUACAUGAGAUCUGAAAAUGUUACGCAUUGACUCACACACAUUCCCCGUGCCUUCUACGCGGAUUCUGGCUUACACACUGUAGUGCUUCUUUAGAUGUAUGGGACAUUUCAUGUUGAAUGAUUCGUCUGAGAUUCUGAGAUAUUCUGUGUAUGAGUUGGUUUGAUGGGCUUUAGUUAUUAAGUGUCCCCACUGACUGAAGGUACCAGUUAUAGAAAUUAAGUCUGGGUGCUGUGUCACUUGGCUGCAGUAAGUGCUCAACUGUUGUUUAGUAAUGUCGCAGUUUAAAUAAUUUUGUAGUGAUUCUUGUGAUGCCUUGUGAUAUUCCUUUUUCUUGUGCAAAGGAAUUUAAGAGAUUUAUGAGAUGAUUAUUCAAGCAAAGAUCUGAUUUCAUCUAUCUUUUUUGUCUGUUAAUACUUUACAACAUUUCAGUUUCCUGUCUAUUAACACAUAAGUUGAUACUUUAAUGGCAAGAUUCUGAAUAAUUUCUGUUGGGGAAUUUAAAUCCUGGGAAACUUUCUUCUGAAUGUCUUCCAAUUCUUCCUAGCCACUUAAUACAGAAUUAAUAUAAAACACCCAGAGCUCUAAUAUGAUUCUAUUCAUGUCAUAUACAAAGGAAAUCUUGAGCAAUUCUCAGUCCCUUGUUAUUGUUGCAAAGAAAUGUAAUACCAUAAUCAUUACUGACUUGCAAUAAUUUGUAAUGACUGAAAGUUCAUGUCUUGGUGUGACUUCCAGAUAUUCUCUCUGUAUUUGAUAGCAUUCUCAGUUAUAUAACUUCAUUCUGUAAAAUAAAAUUCAUAUGAAAGGCAUUUUCUGUGAUGUCUCAUAUCUGUACUUACUGUUAAUGUAAUAGUUCAUGAUGAGGGAACAAGUUUGUUUAAUAUAAUAUACUGCAAGGUCUUUAGGCUCAUCCAUGGAAAUAAUUCUGUUAAUAACACAAUCUCUUUGUAAUUCUGGCAAUCAAACAGUCAUUAAAUUUCAUGAUUAUCUUCACAUUAUUGAAAUUGGUUGAAGUAUACCAAGUCUUUUGUAAGAUGGCAUAUGUGGCUGAUACUGUUUUAAAAAUGUAGCAGAAUUACUUGUUUUAGUAUGGGUAAUGAGCUGUAUUCAGAGAGGAAUAGUAAAAGUGUAAACUAAACAAGAGCCAAGCUUCAUUGUUAAUUAGUCAGGUAUGUAGUGUAUAAACAGGUCAGUCAGUACAGUAUUGAUAGAACUUGAUAACGGUGUUGCGUUUGAAUAAAUUACCUUGCUCUUAUUAUAGUUCAUACAUUGUCCGGUACCUAAGAAUCAGUCUAUUUAAAUAAGCUGUAAUGUAUGGCUUAUUAUAAUGGUGCUUGUUGUGAAAACUUUAUAUGCAAAUGGUUUACUUGCAUUUUUAAUCCAACUUCUACGAACAUACAGAAUUGUAAUUAUUGUAUUUUGGUACUGUAAUUAGUCACCAUUGAUUUGACGACUUUGUGUUUUCUAGUUUUACAGGAAAACAUGAUGUGCUAUACAGCAGAAGGAUAACGAGUUUCCAUUUUAAGUAAUGAAUCUUUCAAACAAUACAGUACUUAUUGAAUACUUAAUCAGAGUAAAAUGGCUUUGAAAUGCACAGAGAAUAUAAUAUGAAGAAGAAUAUUACAAUUAAUUGUACAAAUGCAAUACUUUGAACAACUCUGAUUAUUUUGCUAAAAGAAAUAUUUGUAUUACUUGAUAAAUUAUGCAUUAAUAAAAAGUAAAAUGUUUGUUAUAACCUAGAAUUGUACAAUACCAUUAUAAUAUAGUGUACUUGUUUAACUAAAGAGGAUAAAAUUAUGAAUAUAUAAUAUUUUGAAAGAAAAUCUGUAGCUGUAUGUAUGUGUCAUCUAAACAUUUUGUCAUUAUUGUGUUUACUUGAACAUGUAUCAAUCUUUUGAUCAGCUCUAAAGACUAAUCUCUGUGUAGUACUAAAAGUUAUAGCUGUCCAUGUUACAGAUGGAAGACAAGAAAGCCUACAUAAUGUGCAUCUGGUAAUGAAUGAAUACUAUAAGCAUGGAUCUUAUACAGUUUCGUGUGUGUUGUCAUCUUAGCUUCCAGAGACGACCAAAAGCUGAAUUGUUGUUUUCUUAUUAAAAAGUCCUCUGUUUAUAAUUUGUACACUUUUAAAUCAGUUUCCUAAAAACUGAUUUUGCAAAAUCUUGACUGUCGGUUUGGAAACAGUUAUCAGAGGAUUAUGUUUGAAGUUGGUCAUAUUUUUGACAUCAUCUGUAUCAUAAUUUCAAAUAAGCUUAUUUGUCUCUGAAGGCUGAUAUAAAACCAUAAAUAAAUAGAACUGAUUUCAGUGUAUUUUAAAUAGUGUCUAGUUCAUUUUAUGCCCUCUGUACUUAUUGAGGCCAAUAAAAAAAAUGUAAGACUUA